CGUGGUUUUACCCGGUUUUUUGCCAUGCCUUUCCCGGGGCUUGGGUUGCAUUCUGUCUCGGUCUAAACUCCUUAGGCCAUUUACCUCAUCAAGCCUGUCCCCUGCCGAUUUCCGAAGGAGGUGAAAUGAGCUCGCCCGGGAGCCCUUCAGAUGCUCCCUUGCUCCCAGGCCCAGGCUUUUCAUCAAGCCUGGCCUCUGACAGGCUAUAGAAGCCGUCAGCCAGAGGUGUCACACCAGAUGCCACCAGAAAGGUCAUUUUCUUCCGGAUUUGAAAUAAGGACCUGGAAUCGACCUCUGACCCCAGCAUGAGGAGGGAUUCACGAUCUUCUAUUUUGGAAGCGCCUGAGCAAGUGAUGGAAAGUUCCCAACGAUAUGUAACAUCUGGAUCAGAGCGAAAAUGUGCUCCAGAGAGUAGAAAACAAGCAAGAUGAGACAGCAGUGGGAGAGAGGAAGAGGAGUAAAGCCUGGAUAAAGCAGAAGAGACGGCUUCCUCCCGGAGUAGCGUCAGAGCGGAGGGCUCCACUUUGGAAGACAGCAAAAUCUGCUCGGAGCACCAUGUUGAGAGACUCAUCUACCGGAAGGACAUGUGAGCCGCCAACACACAAUUUUAAUUUUUUGGAACACCACCUUCUUUCUGUUGACGUCCGGGGGAAUUUUCCGCUGGAGAGACCAGCCCUGAAUCGGCACUCCGCAUUCCUGCCGGUCGACAGGUAAAAUCGGUGCCCUAACAGUUCUGAAAGGAAAGCUCUCUC